rnacentral:lncRNA from 1 species
CUGCUUCAAACGCUGGCAAUGGCAGUCCUCCACAGGAGUGGCCUAGUCGCUGGUGCUACCUGAAGACUUAAACCUACUGAGCCUGAACCUCCGAGAGGUCACCAUCUUCUCAUUUUAAGGUGGGACACACUUUAAGCCAGGAACCUGUGACGGGCACUCCAGGCAGGCGGGCCAAGGCUUUUAUCGUAUUUUCUGUCCUAGAUGCUGCUUCUAAGGAAGGACAAAGCUCAUGACGUUAAGUUUAAGGGGAAGCAAACAGCACUCACGUCUGCAUCAUCCAGGGCCAUGUUCCUGACCUUGUUUGCAGCAGAAACUCCCAUCUGGAAGUGCAAAGGUCCUACCCUGACCCUGUCCAAAGUCUUCCAGCGGGGAGGUCUGGAGUUCAAGUGUGGUUUCAUUGCCAAAAACAACUCCCAGAAAAGCAGCCAGCAGUUCCCAGAGUAAAAUGACAGGGUCUGGCAUGCAGGAGGUAUGUGGUAACAGGAUGGCACUUUGUGAUGGAUUCGGCUGCUGGAGGAAGAAACAGGCCCACAAGCGCAGAUGCUCACAGCUAUAAUCCCAGUACUUUGAAAAGGUGAGGUAGGAUGAUCACUUGACCCCAGGAGUUC